rnacentral:rRNA from 1 species
UACGGAGGGCGCGAGCGUUAAUCGGAAUUACUGGGCGUAAAGCGAGCGCAGGUGGUUUAUUAAGUCUGGUGUAAAAGGCAGUGGCUCAACCAUUGUAUGCUUUGGAAACUGUGCGGCUGGAGUGCAGGAGGGGUAAGCGGAAUUCCUAGUGUAGCGGUGAAAUGCGUAGAUAUUAGGAGGAACACCGGUGGCGAAGGCGGCUUACUGGACUGUAACUGACGUUGAGGCACGAAAGUGUGGGGAGCAAACAGG